rnacentral:lncRNA from 1 species
CCGGCCCGCGCUUACCUGCAGCUUGGCACCGCUACAGACGCUCGCUGUCGCUGUGGGCUCCCUCGCUCGGCAGCGCGCAAGCCAGGGACGGGAUGGACGCGGGGGCACGGUACAUCCCUCUCUAGCCAUCAUGUUUCCAGAACUAGGUUGCACUUGAUGCUCCCAUGGAGAGAUCUGAUAGCCUGGUAAUGUCAGGACAUCCAUGUAAGUUAUAGCUCCGCUGCUGCUGAAACCUUGUGUUCUCUGUGAGGCACUUCCUGAUCCUCUUUACCUGCCCUCAGGCCCACGACCUGGAAAGUCCCUUUAGCCCCAAAAUUUCUGUUCAACCUGCAAUACUGGCAGCUGGAUUGAGCUAUUGUGCUCCUAAAUGUCACUUCACUUCUGCUGCUUUGUCACACUUUCAACAGUCUUAUGUUAAAUCACGUGAAUAACAUCUGCAAUUAGGGCAGGACCAUGGACUUCUGGGAAGAUGUAAAAGAAUGCCUGUACCGGAUGCCUAAGUAAACAUGAAGGAAAACUAUGGUCGCCUCAAUUUUCUAAAGGACACCAUAUUCAGCCUCAGCUAAAAUAUUAACCAGUACUGGUUUAAUGUCCCCCACGGUGUUUAAAUACACGCCUUCAAAUUUUUAUUUUCUGUGUAUGAAUGCUUUGCCUGCAUGAAUGUGUGUGCACCACGUGUGUGCCUGGUGGCAGCGGAGGCCAGUCAGAAGGGGGUUCAGAUCCCCUGAGACUGGAGCAGGAUGAUUGUUAAUCACCAUAUGAGUUCUUGGAACUAGACCUGGGUCCCCUGAAAGAGCAGUAAGGGCUGUGAACUACCGAGCCAAAGUUUUAGCUCCUACUCGUGUCUUUUGGUGCACACAAUAGCCUUUGUGUUAGUAGGGUUUGGUGAAAGACUUGAGAUAGAAUAAACCUGGUCUAGUGUUACUUUUUUAAAACGAUUUUAUUAUGCGUGUGUGUGUGUGUGCGCGCGCACACAGGUGAGUAUAUGGGGGUAGCGCAUAUGAUGCGUAUGCUCCUAGAAGCCAGAGGCCCUGGAUCCCCUGACCAUCAUGAGCCACCUGAGAUGGGUGUUGGCCCUCUGGUCCCCUGGAAGAGGAGCAAGUGCUUAACUGUGGGUCAUCUCUCCAGCCUUUUAAGCCCCACUCUCUUUUCUGGAAUGGAGACAAAGAAAUCAAGGCAGUCAUAAAGACUGACCAACACCCAGUUAAGCUUUUAGUGCAAAUAUUAAUCCCCUGAUAUGCUACUGUUGGUGUUGGAUUCUAGCAUCAUGGCAGGAAGUGGUCCUCAUACCUGACACUCCGCCUGUUUGCGUUAUUCGGGUUCCUUCGUACAGCUCUGUGUUUACACUUUAGUCCUGUCUGUGUUUUGCUUACGGGGCACUAGUAAUACCCAUCUGUCGUGAGGUUAUGUCCUGAGGUGAUAGAGCAAUGGCUUAAGUUCACGGUGUGGGAACACGGCCAGCUUCCAGUAAUCUUCAGUGUCACCACCUGCUGCUGCUCUUGGAGCACACCUGGAAGGGCUUCACUCCUCCUGGAUUUAUUGCUUGCCUCCUGUGUAGACAUGGUCCUCUUGCCUAUGAAAGAGAGUUUGUCCUUGGAUUUUAAAUUUAGUUCAUCAGAGUUCAUAAACAUCAGAACAAUAAAG